GUCCAUUGANCCUUAUCAUUUAGAGGAAGGAGAANUUGUAACAAGNUUUCCGUAGGUGAACCUGCGGAAGGAUCAUUG
rnacentral:rRNA from 1 species